GACGAACGCUGGCGGCGUGCUUAACACAUGCAAGUCGAACAAUGAAGCUGGAGCUUGCUCCGGUGGAUUAGUGGCGAAUGGGUGAGUAACACGUGAGCAAUCUGCCCUUGACUCUGGGAUAACUGCGGGAAACUGUAGCUAAUACCGGAUACGAGGCCCGAAGGCAUCUUCGGGUCUGGAAAGAAUUUCGGUCAAGGAUGGACUCGCGGCCUAUCAGCUUGUUGAUGAGGUAAUGGCUCACCAAGGCGACGACGGGUAGCCGGCCUGAGAGGGUGACCGGCCACACUGGGACUGAGACACGGCCCAGACUCCUACGGGAGGCAGCAGUGGGGAAUAUUGCACAAUGGGCGAAAGCCUGAUGCAGCAACGCCGCGUGAGGGAUGAAGGCCUUCGGGUUGUAAACCUCUUUUAGCAGGGAAGAAGCGAAAGUGACGGUACCUGCAGAAAAAGCACCGGCUAACUACGUGCCAGCCGCCGCAGUAA
rnacentral:rRNA from 1 species